UUCAUGUGGUGUUUUGAAAGACAUACAUAUAUUUAUAAUCUAAAUUAUAAGAGAGAUCAACCAUGUGCUCUAAAACAUCCCAUAUUAACAAAUUUGUCAAACUCAUCAAAUUUCCCUGUUCAAAUUCAUAUCAAACAUGUCUUUAAAGCUGAAAAGAGGUGAAGUUUGACCUUUCACAUACUUACCUUAAGUCAACUGGAAGUUAAAAAGUUACCACCAUCAUAUUCACAAAUAUACCAAAGGUCUUUUCUUUUUGACAGAAAUCAGGGGAAAAUAUUACUUAAAAUGAAACAUGAUUAUUUCUAGACAUUUUGAUAAUGUAUUAAACGUGGAACUCUGUAAUUUCAACAUCAGGUUCAUGCACACAGAUUUUAAAUUAGUCUUUUGAAAAUACAUACAAGUCGAGAAUUUCUGCAAAUGUUUUACUUACACAGCAACAUUGACUAUAUUCUACCCAACUGUAACCAAAUAUUUUCAAAUAUCUAGCAAAUGCAGUCUCAGUCUUAUUCUCACAGUUAUGACAUAUUACAAAAACAUUUAUGCUUAUUUAGGCAAGUUGUUUUUAUUCUGUUAUUAUUUGCAGACAUUACAUUUUGAACAAUGAAACAAAUAAUGUGUUAUCUAGUUUACCAUUUGCAAAAUUAGAUUUGUUUUCCUAUUCCAAUGUCAGACACAAAAUAAAUGAUCAUUGGUUAUUUUUUUUGUUUUGUUUUGUAUUUUUUGUUUUUUUUGCAGUAUGCGAGAGGCUGAAGCCUCAGAGUGUAGACGACCAGCAGACUCCCAGUCCCCCCUGGACAUACAGAGGACGACAGUGUCGAGCAAAAUCAGAGAUCACUCUGUGUUCAGAUGACGACUGGGUUUCCAAAUGCCCUUCAGGCUGCCGACUCCAGGGUUUGAUCUCACAGAUGGAGAGUGAAGUAGAAAAAAAACUGUGGAAGGUCUGUAAGGCAGUGAACAAGUAUGAAGGCGCGGCUGAAAAAUCCAUGAUGUUAACAACAAACAUCUACAACUCAAACCGUAGAGUCAUUGCCAACAGACACAUGCAAGAAAUGAAGUUUGUGGAGCAUGCAGACAGACUGUCUAGGAAUCUCACAUCACUACAAAAAAGAUCAUCUAGACUGUCGCAAAAAAUCUGGGAGCUACACAUUAAUGCUCAGAAACAAAUGGAGGAUUUGUAUCGAACAGAGGUAGACAUUGACAUUAAGCUGCGGGCCUGUCUUGGAUCUUGCCAGUCAGCAGUAGCAUUCACUGUCAAUCACCCCAGCUAUCAGUCACUUCAAACUGACAUGGACCAGAUAAACAAGACUCUCAACCAGAUACGCAAGGCUGCUGUGCCUCCCAAAGGCCUCCCACAUAUCAAGCUGCAGCCUGCAGAUGUAGGCCCAGCACCAUAUGCAGCAUAUAAGACCAUAGGGACAGCUCAGAGAGAGCUGCUGGUCCAGGUUGAGGAUAUCAGACAGAAUCAGUUAGUUCUGGAGGAGCUUUUGGAAGACGCAGAGGUUCUUAAUCUUGCAGAGCUGGACUGA
rnacentral:lncRNA from 1 species